rnacentral:rRNA from 1 species
ACAGCAGUCGCCGGCGGUAAUACCGAGGGUGCAAGCGUUAAUCGGAAUUACUGGGCGUAAAGCGCGCGUAGGUGGUUUGUUAAGUUGGAUGUGAAAUCCCCGGGCUCAACCUGGGAACUGCAUCCAAAACUGGCAAGCUAGAGUAUGGUAGAGGGUGGUGGAAUUUCCUGUGUAGCGGUGAAAUGCGUAGAUAUAGGAAGGAACACCAGUGGCGAAGGCGACCACCUGGACUGAUACUGACACUGAGGUGCGAAAGCGUGGGGAGCAAACAGGAUUAGAUACCCCCGUAGUCCCUGUCUCUUAUA